rnacentral:rRNA from 1 species
UCCGUAGGUGAACCUGCGGAAGGAUCAUUGUCGAAACCUGCCCAGCAGAGCGACCAGAGAACGUGUUUAUCAUGAACGGGGUCGGGGCGAAAGCCCCUUCCUCAAGCCAGGGAAUCGCUUCGCCUCGGCAGGGCGUCCUCCCCGGCACAAUAACGAACCCCGGCGCGGUCUGCGCCAAGGAACAUGAAUACAAGCGUGCCCUUCCGCAACCGGUUCGCCGGUUGCGGACGUGGCACCAAGUCGUAUAUAACAUUAAACGACUCUCGGCAACGGAUAUCUCGGCUCUCGCAUCGAUGAAGAACGUAGCGAAAUGCGAUACUUGGUGUGAAUUGCAGAAUCCCGUGAACCAUCGAGUCUUUGAACGCAAGUUGCGCCCGAAGCCUUUAGGUCGAGGGCACGCCUGCCUGGGCGUCACGCAUCGCGUCUCCCCCCACCACCCCKUGUGGGUGGGGAGGAGGAUGAUGGCCUCCCAUGCCUCACCGGGCGUGGAUGGCCUAAAUAAGGAGCCCCCGGUUACGAAGUGCCGCGGCGAUUGGUGGAAUACAAGGCCUAGCCUAGGAUGAAACGGUAAUCGCGCACAUCGUAGCUCUUGAGGA